UAACGAGGGGGCACCCCUGCUCCGCCCCUCCGCGUGAGCGAAGAAGGCCUUCGGGUUGUAAAGCUCUUUCGCAAGGGACGAAAACUUAUGAUCGAAUAAAUCAUGAGGUUGACGGUACCUUGAUAAGAAGCACCGGCUAACUACGUGCCAGCAGCCGCGGUAAUACGUAGGGUGCGAGCGUUAAUCGGAAUUACUGGGCGUAAAGCGUGCGCAGGCGGUUUUGUAAGUCGGAUGUGAAAUCCCCGGGCUCAACCUGGGAACUGCGUUCGAAACUGCAAGGCUAGAGUGUGUCAGAGGGGGGUAGAAUUCCACGUGUAGCAGUGAAAUGCGGGAGAGAUGUGGAGGAAUACCAAUGGCGAAGGCAGCCCCCUGGGAUAACACUGACGCUCAUGCACGAA
rnacentral:rRNA from 1 species